CCGCCCUGAGGGCCCGCCCGGCCCCGCCGCUCUCGCGAGAGCAGCCGGCGCCUCACGCCGCCUCCCCGCGCGCCUGCGGCCCGGCCCGGUCCCGUCAGGCGGCCUCCGCCGCCCCGGGGUGGGAGGGGGGCGGCGGCGGCGGCGUGGCCAUGGAGUCGGGCGUGGAGGAGCUGAUGCCGCGGCUGCUGCCGGUGGAUGACUGUGACUUGGCCGAGGACUUCGACCCCACGGUGCCUCCCAGGACGCCCCAGGAGUAUCUGAAGCGCGUACAGAUCGAAGCAGCUCGGUGCCCAGAUGUGGUCGUGGCGCAAAUAGACCCCAAAAAAUUGAGAAAGAAGCAGACAGUAAACAUUUCAAUUUCUGGAUGUCAGCCUGCUCCUGAAGGAUACUCUCCAACACUCAAGUGGCAGCAGCAGCAAGUGGCCAAUUUCUCAGCUGUUCGUCAGAGCCUGAACAAGCACAGAAAUCACUGGCGGUCACAACAUUUGGACAGCAAUGUUACUAUGCCAAAAUCAGAGGAUGAAGAAGGCUGGAAGAAGUUCUGCCUGGGUGAAAGAGUAUACUCAGAAAUAGAUGCACUAUCUGAUGAUGAAAAUCUAGGAAUUGAUUACAUAAAGGUCGGCUUUCCCCCUUUGCUAAGUAUUGUAAGCAGAAUGAAUCAGGCAACAGUAACCAGCGUCUUGGAAUACCUGAUAAGCUGGUUUGGAGAGAAAAAAUUUACUCCAGAACUGGGUACAUUAGCAUGGAGUUUGGCCACAACUAGAUUGACUAGCUACGUAAUGGCAUCGUAUCUACAAAAGACCGUGAUGGACACAUCUCAUCUCAUUCAGUACCACAAAGCAGAAGAGGCAGAUGGCUUUAUGCACUGUUGGCAUGCCUUGAAAAACCUUUGCUACCUGAAGCUCACUCCCUUAUUCGACAGCUGGCAAGACGAUGCUCAGAAGUCAGAGUACUAGAGGAGAACAAGAAUGAGGAACAAAUAUCAGCUCUGAACUUGAUAAUCUGCUUAGUUAGCAGGUACUUUGAUCAACGCGACUUGGCUGAUGAACCUUCCUAGACUGUUACAAGAGUAUCAAAUAUUUUGCAUUGCCAUAGUACAAACAGCAUUGUGAGAGUUAACAGCAAGACACUGCACUGUUCAGACCUGAAGUACUACACAGCCCCCUCAGAAUACCCUCAUGAUAACACAUUUGGGACAGCUAUGAAUAACGUAAGCUGAGCUUUAGCAUGAGAUUGUCAACGUCUCCAAUAUCAUCACCUUCAUUGUGAAAUGGUCAAUGAAGUGUCUGGCAUCAUCUGUCAAGCCACUGUCUCUGUAAACUACAUUCUUGGUUAGAAAUUUCUACCAUCUGAGUAAUCCUGUGGACACUGCUAUUAGGUGAAGUCUGAGGUUACAUUACAAAUGAUAGUUCUUUAUCUAAUACCCCCCUAUUGAGGGCUUUUUUAAUAAAAGCAUUUUAAAGAGCGUUCUUAAACAUUAUGGCUUUUCUCAUUCUUCAUGCUAUUUAACAGCAGCCUUACUAUAAAACCUAUACAACUAGGACUGAAUGUGGUUUUUUCAAGCUUUGGUUCCUGAGUGUAAGCUCUGCUAAGCAGUUCAACUACAGCCGGUAACAGUAAUUUACUGUUAAAAAUAAUUUUAGUAAAACAUAAACGUAAAUACUUCCUGAGUAGUAAUACUAUUUUUUAGUAAACAGUUGCAGAAACUAGCAAAAACUACACAUCUGUAUUCAAUGCUUUUAAUAGAAGCAUUUAUUAAAAAGAAUAAACAAAUUUGUUUUCUGUAUGGUAUCUUGACAAAUACAUUAGCUCACCUAUUUAUAGAUUUAUAGAUGGAGUGCGUCACCAAGAGUAUCAGCAUCUGCUUGGUACAUACACGACUCCCUCUGGUUUUAAUUACCUUCAACAAUUAAAAAUCCAUGUUAAAGGAACUAUGAAUACUGCUGGCAGCAGCACAUUGGUACAGAGUAUUAAAUGACAUCUGCUUUCUGUACAUUGUAGAAUUACAUUGUAGAAUUUAAGUUCUUCCCCUCGCUUUUAAAAAUAAUCAUUAACCACAACCAGUUAUUGAUAAACCUUUAAUAUAUCUUUAAAUGAUUGGCAAUUUUGCGUCUGGAAUGGUAGUCUUAACUGUCCAGUAAAAAUCAAAGUGAAUUACAGUUACUACUAGAGUUUUAAUUCUGGAGAUGCAAGUAACAAUGAUUCUGUGCAUGUUGAUAGUAAAUGGCUAACACACUACAGAUAGCCAAAAUGUUAUGACAUUGAAAUGUCCAUCUAUUAAGACACACAGUGCAAGUUAUUUCUAAUCUCUUUAGUAACACUUUCAGCAUGUCAAAAGCAGCCCGAGUUGGCAACUGAAGAACCCAUGAAAUGCAAGAAUACUAGUUUGCUAAUUCUCAAGCCCUACAACUUCAACCAAAUCUGAGCUAUAAAGGUGAACAACCACCACAACCUUACUAUAAACUGCCAGUAUAGGAACCCAGCGUUUUCAAUCAGUCGAACAGCUGAUCCCCCCGCCAAGUACCAUACUGCUGUAGUUACUUUCAUCUGUGCUAGUUCUAUAAACAGCACAUCAGCAUCCUGCUAGUUCGAGUUCUGCUGUAGAUGUUUCCUAGAACUGUCAAGUUAUUCAGCCACCACUAAUCUGAACUAGCAUUCACAGUGCCUGGAAAGAUCAGAAUUUGGUCACAUCUUAAGCUCAAGUACAAUAACCUCCUGGUUAUCGCAUUCAUAAUCUAUAGCUUGCCAGCCUGUAACAGCUAUCUAGAAAAGGCUUGAUCCAUUACAAACUUCAGACCUUCCCUAGCGCUUAAGGAAGAACAGCUUCCACUGUUCUUGCCCACCAUGCAACUGGAGAACAUACACUUCUCCCAACACAGGAGGUAGUUAUAACAAUCAAUCAAAGGUGCUAUUUUAACAUGUUAGCUUUUUUGGUUAGCCUGUUAUUUACUGGUCUCAAAGUAGAAACUGAAUCACUAUCACAAGGCAUUCCCACACUUCUGAAUAAACACCAUUAAGUUUCUAUUAUGAUUCAUUUGAAAGUAUAAGGCCCGAACCUGCCGACAGAAGUCUUACAGUAAAAUUCAUCAAAAGUUUUAACAAGAUGUUUUCAUGCUUACCUACAGCAAGAUAUGUAUUGCUUUGCAAAUCUUGUAACAAGCAGUAUCUAGCAAACCCCAAUGUCCUCAAGAGUCUUGGUGAUGUCUUUAUAGCUUCUUGCAGGCCUAAUCAUCUUCCUACACACACUCAUUACAGAAGCGAGUUGUAGCUAACAAUUAAAAACAAUUAUGUUAAUAUUGAGUUUAUGCACAAGCUAAAACAAAUUUCCUUCUUUGGCCAAUUCAGAUGACCCUAGCUGUAAAAUUACUGUGACACAAAAAACCAGCGGUUAAUUUUAGGGAGGUAGGAGAAACUUGUGUAACUAUGUAGAAGUAAGCUCUCUUCUUUACUGCUCCGUAUCAUUCCUACAAAGGAACUAAGCCUCCGCUGAACACCAUUAAUGAAGGCUGUUGGUUCACAUGCCAAUCGAUGGCUUCCUCAGAAAAAUAAAAAAGUAAUUGCUGCCUCACCGUUCAGAGUGAAUAGGGAAAGGUAGCAGUUAAGGUGACACAAAACACGUUAGUUUCUUAUUCCAAUUUAGUCUUGGACAGGCUUUUCCUC